rnacentral:rRNA from 1 species
UACGGGGGGAGCAAGCGUUGUUCGGAUUUACUGGGCGUAAAGGGCGCGUAGGCGGCGCGACAAGUCACUUGUGAAAUCUCCGGGCUUAACCCGGAGCGGCCAAGUGAUACUGUAGUGCUAGAGUGCGGAAGGGGCUACUGGAAUUCUCGGUGUAGCGGUGAAAUGCGUAGAUAUCGAGAGGAACACCUGCGGCGAAGGCGGCUUACUGGUCCGGUUCUGACGCUGAGGCGCGAAAGCGUGGGGAGCAAACAGG